rnacentral:rRNA from 1 species
AGUAACGCGUAGGUAAUCUACCCUUAUAUUUGGGAUAACAUUGGGAAACUGGUGCUAAUACCGAAUGGUCUUCAUUGCUUUGGGGCGAUGGAGUAAAGGUGGCCUCUUCAUGAAAGCUACCGUGUAGGGAUGAGCCUGCGUACCAUUAGCUAGUAGGUGGGGUAAUGGCCCACCUAGGCUACGAUGGUUAGCGGGUCUGAGAGGAUGAUCCGCCACACUGGAACUGGAACACGGACCAG